rnacentral:rRNA from 1 species
UACAGAGGGGGGCAAGCGUUUAUUCGGAAUUAUUGGGCGUAAAGGGCGCGUAGGCGGCUUUUCAAGUGACGGGUGAAAUCCCUCGGCUUAACCGAGGAACUGCCUGUCAGACUGGAAGGCUUGAGACCGGGAGAGGUGAGUGGAAUUCCCAGUGUAGCGGUGAAAUGCGUAGAUAUUGGGAGGAACACCAGUGGCGAAGGCGGCUCACUGGACCGGUACUGACGCUGAGGCGCGAAAGCGUGGGGAGCAAACAGG